UCCCUCUCGGCCGAUAAAAUAUCAUAUUUAGUAUUUAUUAAGGCGUAGUCUGAAAAUUCUAUGUCUCCAUUCUUCGGUACACUUCUCGUCAGUCAUCUCGUUGAAAGUCAAAUAUUGUCCAAAGGAAGUUGGCUUCAAGAACAUACGUAGUAAUUAUAGUGUUUGCAAAUUACUUUGUAGACUUGAGCAGCAUUAUAUUCCAGUUGGUACGUGGCAGUGCAAGUGGCUAUUUUUUCUGAUAAUCCGGAGUGCACACUUAUAUUUUUUGAAUUUGGUUACAAAUGAAUUAUGAUUGUGAAGGUGGCAACGCUGGAAACGUCUUUCGUCAACACUUAUCUUGUCAACUAAUUCACUCGUAAUCUCGUGGUACUGAGUAUUGAAAAGGUGUGUGUCGUCAAUACGGACUUUAAAUCCCUUUAACGUUAAUGACUGUUUAAUUUUAAAUUCUGAGCAGAGCCUUGAAUGUAUUGAUUUUACAAUGAUAUAUUUUUUAGGACACCUUUAAACACCUUUAAACACCUUUCAGGACAGUAAAAAUGCUUUGAUUUUCUUCAACAAUAUCUUUUCUGAUAGGAAAGUGAAUCUAGUUGGUACUUUGGGGGGCUCAAAAGUAAAAAUUUCCCAGUA
rnacentral:lncRNA from 1 species